rnacentral:lncRNA from 7 species
AUGGAUCCCCUCGUGUCCUCCAUCUGCUGCUAUGAGGGUGAGUGGUUCUAUGUUUGGAACCCUGAAGGGAGUGCGCCACCGUUCACCAGCCAGAUCCCCGUGGUCAAGCCUGAGUGGAACUACAGUGUGGAGAAGAAGUUCAAGCCAAAGAUCAAAUAUAUGUUGGAUGCCAUCGCCAAGCAACAUGGGCAAGGUCUCUCUGGUGAGAGGCUGAUUCACACCUUCAUGCGGCGACAUCUCCAACCACUCGCAGCCCGCUAG